rnacentral:misc_RNA from 1 species
UUCUUCUUCUUCUUCUUCUUCUGUGUGAUCAGCAGCUAUCUGUUUUACUUUUCAUGAUGGUUCAAUGUUCUAGACCUUUAAUUCUAUUACUUUGGAUCUUCUUCUUGUUCAUUUUCUUCCUUGGUUAUUGUCAUGCCACAAGAACCACCAACGUUUUCAGUCUCAACCCCAAGUCUCAGCAGUACAAAGGCCAUUUCUUCAAUUUCUUGCCCAGACAUUUCCCAAUACCCACUUCUGGCCCUUCAAGGAGACAUAAUGAUAUUGGGUUACAAAGUUGGAGAUCACCUUGAAGAUUUAAUGCCAUUUUUGAAGGAAAGGUGAUUCUCUUUUAUUCUUGAGUUUUUCUA